rnacentral:rRNA from 1 species
AGAGUUUGAUCCUGGCUCAGGACGGACGCUGGCGGCGUGCUUAAUACAUGCAAGUCGAACGAACUCUGGUAUGGAUUGGUGCUUGCAUCAUGAUUUACAUUUGAGUGAGUGGCGAACUGGUGAGUAACACGUGGGAAACCUGCCCAGAAGCGGGGGAUAACACCUGGAAACAGAUGCUAAUACCGCAUAACAACUUGGACCGCAUGGUCCGAGUUUGAAAGAUGGCUUCGGCUAUCACUUCUGGAUGGUCCCGCGGCGUAUUAGCUAGAUGGUGAGGUAACGGCUCACCAUGGCAAUGAUACGUAGCCGACCUGAGAGGGUAAUCGGCCACAUUGGGACUGAGACACGGCCCAAACUCCUACGGGAGGCAGCAGUAGGGAAUCUUCCACAAUGGACGAAAGUCUGAUGGAGCAACGCCGCGUGAGUGAAGAAGGGUUUCGGCUCGUAAAACUCUGUUGUUUAAAGAAGAACAUAUCUGAGAGUAACUGUUCAGGUAUUGACGGUAUUUAACCAGAAAGCCACGGCUAACUACGUGCCAGCAGCCGCGGUAAUACGUAGGUGGCAAGCGUUGUCCGGAUUUAUUGGGCGUAAAGCGAGCGCAGGCGGUUUUUUAAGUCUGAUGUGAAAGCCUUCGGCUCAACCGAAGAAGUGCAUCGGAAACUGGGAAACUUGAGUGCAGAAGAGGACAGUGGAACUCCAUGUGUAGCGGUGAAAUGCGUAGAUAUAUGGAAGAACACCAGUGGCGAAGGCGGCUGUCUGGUCUGUAACUGACGCUGAGGCCCGAAAGUAUGGGUAGCAAACAGGAUUAGAUACCCUGGUAGUCCAUACCGUAAACGAUGAAUGCUAAGUGUUGGAGGGUUUCCGCCCUUCAGUGCUGCAGCU